GAUUAUAAAACUUAACCCAUCAGAGCAUGGUAGACUACAGAACAAUAUCACCAUCUAGGCUGAAGUUAGGGAAUUUAUCCUCAGCCUUUGACCAUGAGUGUUAAACCAUAUCUUAUAUUUUUUUGGGAAAAAAUCCUGCAGUGAGGUCCAACAAAAAUUUCUUUUCAUUUUAAUAUUUACUUGAUUAAAUUGUAAUUGAAUUUAUUUGAUUAGCCACGCCAGGUAGUGUGAGAAGAAGACCAAAGGAACCAUGCAUGAGGUCAUGAAGAGGAAAUGAAGGUAAAAUGCCAAGGGCAACCAUGAGCAGCAGCCAUGAUAAUCCUGAAAGUGCUACAGAUGUGCAGAAAUCUAUGACUGCUCCAGACACACUUCAGUAUAACAAGACCAAGCAGGUCCAUAUUAGUGAUGCGCUAGAUUCUCAGAUCUUGUGGUGUGAAUCUCACAUUUAAUAGCAAUGGAAACAGGUCCAGCUGCCGGGGUUUCACAGGAAUAUAGUUAAUAUAUAUAUAUAUAUCUUCCAAUUCUGAGGUCCAUCCAUUCUUACAGCUACAUCCUUUACCUCCUGGUGUGACCUAGGCAGUAGGUCCACCUAGUCUGAAACUUGGCUCCCUUCCUGCCUCCUCCAUCUGUAGCAUAUUCUCUUAGAGGCUGAGAGGUCACUCAGAGGGCAGUCUAAGCAUGGACCUGGCGGCCAACAUGUCUUAUUCUAUAGUUAAAGCAUAAGUGGUUUUGCCAGCCAUCCUUCUCCUAGGGCAGAGACGUCUAGUUUCCAGCAGCUGUUCCUUUGUUUAUAUUUAGUAACCAGUGUUAGAAGUGAUCAUUGUUAUAGAGUCCAGCAAGGUGGGUUCACAGCCUUGUGUGAUCUGAAGAUUUCCACAUCUGUGCAGGGCGUUCUUAAAUACAUCCUCCCUGGGACCCUGAGAUGGACAGAAUGGCUUCAUGGGAAAAAGAUGAUUUGUAGAGGGGGAAGCAGAGAAACACAAAUGUGUUGUCAUGAAGGUGUCUCCCAUUCACUUGGCUGCAUCCUGCUGCGUGCUUCCUAAUACCAACACCGAUGCCUGUUUAUUUAUUUAACAUAUGUAUGUGCAGGGUGCACACACAUGCAUACUUUUGCGUGUGUUCAUGGAGGCUGAAACUGAUGUCUGGUGACUUCGUUGAUAGCUCUCCACUUUAUUAACACAGAACCCAAAGCCCACCAGCCAGGGAAGCCUGGGAUCUCUGUCUCUUCCUUGUAGAUGCUGGGAUCAUAGGCAGCUACUUGAGAGGUGGGAUUUCACCCACUGAGUCGCCUCCCAGCCCGGGCACCUUCUUGUGUGUGCAGGUUCCGUAGGAGGCAGAGCAUGCAGGUUUUAUCCUGUUAGCUCAGGACUUCUGAAGACCACAUGUCCCCCUGCAGAUGAGGAGGGGGAGGGGCUGUAUGCUCUGUGCUCUGUUUUCUUCAGCUCUAAGGAGCCUGCGUUUGAUAUAUGGUGUGAUGUAGCCUUUGCUCUCACAGUUGGCCUGGUGCACACCUCAUGAUUGACAUUUUUAUACCCUGCUUGCAUGAUAUGCACACAUGGUAUGCUCAGAUUUUGGACAUGUAAGCUCCCUCCCCAUCCCUCCUAUUUCCAUUUAAAAGAUUUUAUUCUUACUGACAAUGCUUUUUUUUUUUUUUAAAUCUUACAUUUUCCAUGCCUAUAGUUCCAGCAUUUUGCCAAUGUUUUGUUUCUCUUAAAAGUGGAUAUGUAUUAUUAGACCAUUGUUUAUAAGGAACCCAUCCUUAAACUGCAGUACACUUCAAGUCAGAUGUUUUAAUGUGACAGUUUCUAAAAGGCACAGCCAUUUAACAUUUGUGGUUUCUUACCUACAGUGUGUCGAGCAGAGCUGCUACCCAAGUAUGGUUUUGUACAUCCCUCUCAGCAGUUUAUGGAGAAUCAGAAACAGGAGGUGCUAUUAUGAAAUGAAUCUGGUUUAUUGAAAUUAGCAAGUAGGUUCAGCAGAGAUAACACUUUGGGAUACAAAAAAGACGUUACUGAAGUGGCUCUUUAGGGAGUGGAUCUAGGUGAUAAAGAUAAUUACUUCAUUCAGCAAAUCUUGGUUGAGCAACUACUAUGGACUGACACUCUUCUUCUGUGACAUAAAUGAGCACUGGAGAUUGGCAGGCAACAGAGGAUUUUAGGAGCCACAGCUAAUUAGGAUCAGUCAGAAAUGAAGACAAAGCAUUUUUUUUAGGAUGCUCGUGUGUGGAACAGCAUGGAAAUAGGGCUGAUGAUUAGAAUCCAGCUUCUAGCCUUUCAAGAACUCAUCUGCAGGGUAAAUGAUGAAGGGUCCGGGGGCUCAGCAUCUGAGCAUAAAUGAAAGGCCUGCGCAAUUCUGUCUCUGUUGUGAACAAGAAAGUUGACCUGGGGCAUAAACACGGCUGC
rnacentral:lncRNA from 1 species